rnacentral:rRNA from 1 species
CCUACGGGAGGCAGCAGUGGGGAAUCUUGCGCAAUGGCCUAACGGCUGACGCAGCGACGCCGCGUGUGGGAUGAAGCUCUUCGGAGUGUAAACCACUGUUGCCCGGGACGAACAGCUCGAUUAAUCGAGCCUGACGGUACCGGGUGAGGAAGCACCGGCUAACUCCGUGCCAGCAGCCGCGGUAAUACGGGGGGUGCGAGCGUUGUCCGGAAUCACUGGGCGUAAAGGGCGCGUAGGUGGUUUGAUAAGGGUGUGGUGAAAGUCCGGGGCUCAACCCCGGAUCUGCCGUGCCGACUGUCAAACUCGAGGACUGUAGAGGCAGACGGAAUUCCGGGUGUAGCGGUGGAAUGCGUAGAGAUCCGGAGGAAGACCGGUGGCGAAGGCGGUCUGCUGGGCAGUUUCUGACACUGAGGCGCGACAGCGUGGGGAGCAAACAGGAUUAGAUACCCUGGUAGUCCACGCCGUAAACGAUGGGUACUAGGUGCCUGGGGGAGCGACCCUCUGGGUGCCGGCGCUAACGCAGGAAGUACCCCGCCUGGGGAGUACGACCGCAAGGUUGAAACUCAAAGGAAUUGACGG